UUUUUUUUUUUUUUUACUUAUUUCCUACAAAUGUAGAUGAUUAUUCUACUUCAAAAUCUGUAAUCUAUCUUUCACAUCCUUAUACCCUGUCCCUUGCUUGAUCAUCCGUUAUGGUCUUUUUGAAUGAAGCGGGAAAAGCAAUUCUAUUUCAAAUCAUUCCUCACCCUUAGGCGGCUAAGCCAAGUUCCCAGUGGACAGGUUGAUAUUCGAGACAAAAUACCCUAUUUCUUUGUCAUUUUCAUUGAGAAGUUGAAUCAUAUCAUUAUGGAUAGUAGUGAGUGUAGCUUCCUUCCCAUAGGGAUCUUCCUCAUGGAAUGGAAUCCGCUGGUUUGACCCCGAAUUGCAAAUGUCCUGGACUUCUGGAGUUAAAUGAAACAUGUGAAUGCUAUCUCUUUUUUUGGCUGUAUCACAUGCUUAAACUAUUCAGGCAAAUCUGACAAAGAGCAAGUCUAUAAACAAUGCAAAAUCAUAAGUUGUAGUAUCUAGUGUUUAUUGAAGACAUUAGGAAUUGGAUUUGUAUUAAUUAUGCUCGGAAUUUAAUUUGUUGAAGUCUUUUUUUUUUAUUGGCAUACGUAGGAGUGUUCACAAGUCGGUUUGGGUAUUUUUGUUGCCUCAAUCCAAUCCAAUCCAAUUUAUAUUAACUUAUAUUCUAAACCGAAAUCAAACCGACCAACCCAAAACUUUGGAUUUAAUGAAUUAGUCAUUGGGUGAAAUUCUAUUCAGCCACGGUUUGCUUUGGUGCCGCCAAGUGAUAAUAUAUUUUAUUUCAUAAUUAAAAAUUACAUUAAUUAACUUCAAAAAAUUUAUAUUAAUAGAACAUUAAAAAAAUAUAAUCAUUAAAAAUUUAAAUAAACAAAC
rnacentral:misc_RNA from 1 species